AGCCAUCCGAGAUGAACGCUUCCCUGUUGCGGGAGGCGUGGCGUACGGCUCAGUAACACGUAGUCAACCUGCCCUNCGGGUCGAGAACAAUCUCGGGAAACUGAGGCUAAUGCUCGAUAGAUCAAGAUUCCUGGAAUGGGUUUUGGUCCAAAAGGAGUGACAGCAUCUUGUCACUUUGCCCGAGGAUGGGACUGCGGCCGAUCAGGCUGUUGGUGGGGUAAUGGCCCACCAAACCUGUAACCGGUACGGGCCUUGAGAGAGGGGGCCCGGAGAUGGACACUGAGAGAAGGGUCCAGGUCCUACGGGGCGCAGCAGGCGCGAAACCUUCACAAUGCGCGAAAGCGUGAUGAGGUUAAUCCGAGUGGUCCCCGCUGAGGGGAUCUUUUGUCGGCUGUAAAAAGGCCGGUGAAUAAGGGGAGGGCAAGUCUGGUGUCAGCCGCCGCGGUAA
rnacentral:rRNA from 1 species